rnacentral:rRNA from 1 species
GAAGGGACGCACAAGCAAAUUGUGUUAGAUUAUGACCGGAAACGUAAGAAGACAUCAGAAAGGAUUGGCUGCAAGGCAAAAAUUAGAGUCAAAAAGAGGAAGGAUGGAAAAUUUGUGAUAGAAAUGGUUGAACUCAACCACAAUCACAAGAUGCUGGAAAAGACCCGGGAUGCUUUUGCACAAAAAGACGAUCAUUUGAUUCACCAGUUGGUGAAAGACAUGCAACUGGACAACCACACACAUGCACAGAUGAUGUCAACACUGUCGCGUAUGUCCGGUGGUGUGCAGUACAUGGGACAUACUAGCCGCGACUGAGUAAACAAGAAACCGAAGUUUGCCAGAGAAGAGUCCCAAGAUGACGUCAAGAAACUUCUAGAUUUCUUCUAGAAGAUGUAGAAGAUAAAUCCAGAGUUCUUCUAUGAUUAUGAUGUCAACGCAAGUUGCAAAUGAUCGUAUGAAGAUUUUGGAGACUGCGUUACAUUUGACACGACAUAUAAAACUAACAAAUUCCACAUGCCGUUGGGAGUCAUCAUGGGAGUGAACCAUCAUCUAUAGAGCACCGUAUUUGCUAUCACCCUCAUGCAAGAUGAAACAAUACCAUUGUUCGAGUGGGUUUUCAAAACAUUCCUGAGUUGUAUGAACAACAAUCCACCAAUCUGCAUGCUGACAGACCAAUGUUCUUCGAUGAAGGCAGCAUUAAAAACUACUCUCCGAGAUGCAUUGCAUAAGUUUUGUCGGUGGCAUAUCAUGAAGAAGUACAAAGACCACCUCGCCUUACUCUAUAAGGCGCAUGAGAAACUCAAGGAUGACCUCAAUGCAGUGCUGAACUACCCCCUAAUGCCGUUAGAAUUUGAACGGGCAUGGAAACUCAUGCAGAAAUACAACUUGCAAAACGACGACGUGAUGAAUUGGCUGUGGGAUGACAUGCACGAGUGGUUCUCGGCUUACUACAAGGAAACUUUCUAUGCUCGGAUGACUUCCAUGCAGGGAAGCGAGAGCAUGAACCACAUAUUGAAGAAAAACUUCAUCAAAGAGAAGCAUGAUCUUGAUCUGUUUGCUCAGUAG